GGUCCCACCAGCCGUAUAACACAUGGAUUCCAGUUCUGGUCCCAGGUGACAGCUUCAGACCCCACCAGUCCCAGUACAUGGGAUGGGGACGUACAUGGCCAGUUAUGUAAAGGGAAGUCCUGGUUCGUAUGCAGCACGUCCACUCACAUCCCCUUGGCUAAAACGGUCCCAUGUCUACGUCUGGAUGCAAAGGAGGAAGACAGUUCCACUGAGCAGCUGUAUGCCCAGCCCAGUUCAGUCACAGCGGGAGAACCGGUAAAAUUUCCGUCUCAAAACCCAACCUGGCUUCGCCACCGUCACCUGUCACACUCACAUCCCAGUCACGGAAAGAGAAGAAGAGCAAGACAUGUUCCUUCUCUCGGGACACGACCAGAAGUUGCUCGUUCCUCACGCCUGGAUUCCGGGGGCGCAAGGAAGGCGGCGGCCGCGGUCCGGAGUGGCCCGUGCGCAGGCACCGGUUCCGUCUCCGCGGGAGGUAGACAGGACAGACACCAGACGCAGCCAGCAGCCCCCCUCCCUGUGCCAUUCACUGUCACUCGCCGCUGAGCCUGACCUGGCUUGUGUGCCCGUUGGAAAGGUGGGGGAGAUUGACCCCACGCCCUUGAGGCUGAUUGCCUCGGCCGGGAGGACUGGAAGGGCGCGGAGAGAGACCUGAUGAGUAUUUGUUGAAUAAAUGGCUAAAUGCCAGGUGACAAGAGUCGCGAGCCCGUGCCUUCUCGAUCCCGCCACCAUCGGGCCUUCUUUCCGUGGCAUCGGCUUCGUGGAGAAAGUGCGACUUACCCUCGACUCAAAAGCAGGCGUGAACUGUAAAUCGGAAGGAAGGAGGCCCCGAGACAUCCUCCACGCGGGUCUUUGCAAUCGCACCUCUGGAGCUGGCCGGCUGGCAGCUCAGCACAGACCUGCUCCAGCGGCUCGACUCUCGGUCCUUCUCUGAGCGACAGGAAGGCGCACGUUCGUGUAAAGACUCACGCGGGACCGGACCUCACAGCUGUGUGUGCAGCAGCAGGAACCCGUAACAGCUCAUGUGUCCUUCGGUUGUGGAUGGAGGAACCGCCGGCGGUUCAGUCGCACAAGGAAACACCGCUCAGCAGUGAGAAGACACACCUGCUGACACCCGCAGUAAUAAGUAGCUCCGGCCCUGACCUCAGGAUCCCGAGACCAAGCCCCACAUCAGGGUCCAUGUUGAGCUCAGCAUCUGCUUGGACUCUCUCUCCCUUUCCCUCCGCCCCUCACCCCUGCGUGUUCUCUCUCUUAAAUAAUUAAAUCCUAAAAAAAAAAGAAAAAUAGGUUUAUGUAAUAUGGCCAGGUACAAAAUUAAUAUGCAGAAUUCGGUAUUUUCUAAAUAUGCAGAAAACAAACACUAUAGGAUGGAAAAAAGCUGAUACCACUGAGAACAAUGAAAUUCUCACUACUUGGUCACUUCUUCUGAACAUUUUCUACUUCUGUGUCCUUCUCAAAGUGUUAUGUUGGGAAUCAGCCGGAAUGUGUUUAUGGUCCUAAAGCAUUUCCGGAGAAGCUCUGUGUGAUCCGAAGGGUCAUCCUCUUCCCUUCAUUCAGUGUAAUGCCUUGGUUUCUAUUUCAUUCAACAGAUCAGUUGAAAACCAUGUUCGUCCAGCUGCAGGCCAUAGCCUGACCAAUCCUACCAUUGGUUGUUUAGGACUUUACCAAUGAGUUAAUUUAUGUAAAUUAAUUAUGUAAAGUAUCCUUCUUCAUAUUGGAUAUUUUUCUGUAUGAUGACGGACUCAUAUAAUUCAGGAGAGCUGGGUAGACAACAGCAAGAAAAUAUUUGUGUCCUCAGUAACUUGUAUAAAUAGAACUUAAAUCUUUUGCUGUAUGGUAUUUUAGAAUAUAUGUUAAAACGAAAGUAUGAAAUAAACUGUUCUUGGUCAUUUAAAGUCAAA